CCUACGGGGGGCUGCAGUAGGGAAUCUUCCACAAUGGACGAAAGUCUGAUGGAGCAACGCCGCGUGUGUGAUGAAGGGUUUCGGCUCGUAAAACACUGUUGUAAGAGAAGAAUGACAUUGAGAGUAACUGUUCAGUGUGUGACGGUAUCUUACCAGAAAGGAACGGCUAAGUACGUGCCAGCAGCCGCGGUAAUACGUAUGUUCCAAGCGUUAUCCGGAUUUAUUGGGCGUAAAGCGAGCGCAGGCGGUUUUUUAAGUCCGAAGUGAAAGCCCUACGCUUAACCGGGGAAGUGCUUUGGAAACUGGGAUAAUUGAGUGCGGAAGAGGAAAGUGGAACUCCAUGUGUAGCGGUGAAAUGCGUAGAUAUAUGGAAGAACACCAGUGGCGAAGGCGGCUCUCUGGACUGUAACUGACGUUGAGGCUCGAAAGUGUGGGUAGCAAACAGGAUUAGAUACCCUUGUAGUC
rnacentral:rRNA from 1 species